rnacentral:lncRNA from 1 species
ACGGUUACGAAACGAUGUUGCUUAAACAGGAGGUUGCCUAGGCAACGUCAAGACAACUCAAAAAUCGUCCACCAAAUUAGUGCAGAAUAGGGUCGUCUUCUAGGCAAUAACAACGUUGUAAGAAAGCGUUGCCACGCGGUAGACAACGUUGUCGCGUCGACAAAUUGCUACUUGGGCAUAGGAAUAUGAAAGGUGUUUUAACCCUUUGCACUCGUAUACAUUUUCUAUUGUGAUGACACUCUGCUCAGAUUAUUAUUUUAUCUUCGUAUCUGUCUACUCAGAAUUUCGUUUUAUAUGGGAAUUUUUUUAAAAUGCGUUAAAAUUGCGAAGUAGCUAUUAGUUCAAAACCUCAUGAACCUCGUAAAUACGCAUGCCCGAAAAAAUAAAUGGAACCUAAAAAACAUUCACCAUUUUAAUUUCAUAGGAAAUUAGGCGACAGGGUAGGAUUUGCACGUGCUAAAUGAUGUCGAGUAUUUCCAAUAAACAUGACAUAUUAUGUUUCUCUAAUUUUAAACAAAUUAGUUAGUCAUCGCAUUUUUAUUUUAUCUCACAUUGAAAGAUGUAAUAAAAAUUUACGACUUCCUGUCUUCACUGCCGAUAAAAAUUGCUGUGUAAAAAUGUAAAAUAUUUACAUUGCACUAAUUUGGCUUAUAAAUAAAAAAUAAACCUUUUAGGAACUGAAAAAUAUCUAGAGUCUAGAGGUCAAAUAAAUAAAUAACAAAUCAAUGUAUGAUAGAAAAAUAAUAGGAUUUUGGUUUUAAAUUCAGCAAAAUAUGUUUAUAGGAGACGAAAACCUCGAAUUCCUUGGGAAAAAUAUUCCCAUAAAAUUUUUUGCAUAAUAAUCACUUUCAUAAAAUCCCGCAGAAUAAUGUUCAAGAGGUCGCCCAUACAAAAAGUGGUCCUAAUUUAUUAAACAGUUUUGUUUAAAUCCUUUUUUAGGUUGUGAUAAGGGCCUCAAACGGCUAAAAACAAUGUUUUAAAAUCAAAUAAGCCCAAACUAAAGUAUCAGAAACUGAUAGAACAAGGUUUGGUGAAUUCAGAAAUAAUUGUGUUUUUGAGCCUUAAAAAUCAUCAUUUUUGGUUUUUUUAAUUUUUAAAUUAUUUAUAAGUUGAAAACGAUCAACUUUAGAGAAAAAUUACAAUAAACCUUUUUCAUUCAGAAUGAUUAAAAAAACUGGAAAAAAAAUUUGUCCGGGCAGAUGAAAUUGAUUUAUACAAUUUGUUUAAAAACAAUUAUUGUUUAAAUAAAUCAGAACCACUUCUGCUGGUAUUAUGUUUUAAGACGAAAUAAGUUAAAUACAAAGUUAUCAGUUAAUAAUCACAAAAAAAAAUAAAAAUAUUGAAAGCUAUUUCACUAACGCAAAAACUAGUUCGUCUCUGUCUCGCUACGAUAACGCACUGAAGAGAACUACAUGUUUUAGCAACGCCUGAUAUCAUUGUUUCGUUCGUAGAUCGACGUCACUAAAUGAUUACGUCAGGUCCACGACAUUAUGAAUUACCAAUACA